rnacentral:tRNA from 1 species
GCUCUGGUGGCCCAAUAGUUAAGCGCUUGGCUACUAACCAAAAGGCUGGCAGUUAGAACCUACCCAGGGGCU